GAGCUCAGUCGGUAGAGCAUGAGCUUCUUAAUCUCAGGGUUGUGGGUUUGAGCCCCGUGUGAGAUA
rnacentral:tRNA from 1 species